GAUGAAGAACGUAGCGAAAUGCGAUACGUAAUGUGAAUUGCAGAAUUCAGUGAAUCAUCGAAUCUUUGAACGCAUAUUGCGCUCUCUGGUAUUCCGGAGAGCAUGCUUGUUUGAGUAUCAGUAAACACCUCAACUUCCAUAUCUUUUUUGAAAUGGGAGUUGGACUUGAGUGAUCCCAACGCUUUUCCUCCCCGAAAAGUGGCGGGUUACUUGAAAUGCAGGUGCAGCUGGACUUUUCUCUGAGCUAUAAGCAUAUCUAUUUAGUCUGCCUAAAAAACAGAUUAUUACCUUUGCUGCAGCUAACAUAAAGGAGAUUAGUUCUUGUGCUGACUGAUGCAGGAUUCACAAAGACAGGCUUCGGCCGACUUUGUAAACUCGAUCUCAAAUCAAGUAAGACUACCCGCUGAACUUAAGCAUAUCAAUAAGCGGAGGA
rnacentral:misc_RNA from 1 species